UACGUAGGUCCCGAGCGUUGUCCGGAUUUAUUGGGCGUAAAGCGAGCGCAGGUGGUUUAUUAAGUCUGGUGUAAAAGGCAGUGGCUCAACCAUUGUAUGCAUUGGAAACUGGUAGACUUGAGUGCAGGAGAGGAGAGUGGAACUCCAUGUGUAGCGGUGAAAUGCGUAGAUAUCAGGAGGAACACCGGUGGCGAAGGCGGCCUGCUGGACUGCAACUGACGUUGAGGCCCGAAAGCGUGGGGAGCAAACAGG
rnacentral:rRNA from 1 species